GGCAGGUUCUCAUAGCGGCAAUUGAGGCUGACUGUAAAUCAGCUCCUUCGGGUUCGUGGGUUCGAGUCCCACACCUGCCAC
rnacentral:tRNA from 1 species